GUUUUCUGUGAUUAUGUGAAUUCCCUUACCUGAAAAUUAAUGGAGAAUGCAGGUGCAUCAGGCUGAAACUUAUGUACUUUGUCUUUUCUAUCUGCUUUUGGCCACUUUUGGAGGCAGAGUUCAGGGCUUUUGGUCCAGCUUGUGCUCUUAUGUUGGUCUUCUGCAGAGACAUCUACCAUACACAUGAACUAGAGGAGAGUACAAGUCAAAGCAGAGAAAAAAUAAAGUGAGCAGGAAUGUGGGGACAGAAUAGUGAUACUUCAUUAAUCUUUUUUUUUUUUUUUUUUUUACUAUUAUUUAUUUUCUUCUGAGAUCUCUGUGUAAUUCCAUUGUUUGGGGAACUGCUUUGAAAAAUUGCUCUCAUGUAGCUGGAAGUAAAUCCUCAGUGCUUCGUGACAAACAGGGGGCAUGUGCCUCUGUGUUGUGUCAGUCAAAGCAGUUUUCUCCACUCAGCUUGCAUGAUCUGGUUGUCUCAGGGAUAGUGACAAAAGACUGAUUUAUCAGCUACAUGGAUGCUGCUCUGAUUUUAUAGGACUUUCAGCUUUAUUUCUGCAGAAUCACAUCCUACAAGUGUUUCUGCAACUUACAGUAGAAUUUACUCUGUUUUGUAAUCCUAUGAGGAUUUCAUUCAAGUAUGACUCCUUACUACAGUUGCAUCUGUAUUUUUUCCUAAGUCUAUUUAGCUGCAUCUGUGCAAGUCACUGGCUCUCCAUCUGUGUCAUCUCUCUUAAAGAGUCAAUUCCAAAGAGUAAUUUGUGCUUUCCUGAGAUAACUGAGUGAUACAGAACGAGCAGCACUCUGGAGGAAGCUGUUCCUCUCCAUUGACUCUUUACUCACUGAGUUUACUCAAUUAGUGUUGUUUAGGAGCCCACCUUUCAGAACAAAGUAGCCAGGUGAGAUAAGAGUACCCCAGCUUCUUGUUUGAUAUUUUUAUUUCAAGUUAUUUUUAUGUAAGUAUGCAACUGAUUUGAUUUCAGUGUUAUUAGGGUAAUAACCUGAAUUAUAUUUCUACACAAUAAUUUAAAUGCCAAGAAUGGUGUUAUUCCAGUAUGUUCUCCUCUGAAAUCAUCAAAUCACAAUACCAGCUAGCCCUCAGAAAAUGGAGAAAAUGUUGGGAGUUGGCAGCCAGGGCAAUUACCAGUAUGGACAGAUAAUACAGAGUGUUUGGAGCCGUUUUAGCAGAUCUGCUGGUUCCAUCCAUGACACUGUACUGUAAAGAAGUCCUUAAGGCACUGUCAGAUGGCCAAGGAGGACUGCACUAGAAAAGUGUGAUAAGCACCCAAAGUCUGUAAGUGUGUCUUCUUGUUUAGAUUUUUACUUGUUUCAUGUCAAGCACCAUACAGUAUCUUUCAUUAAAUGGCUGGAAGUAGCUUCAACAUAGGAUGAAUUACCUAUGUAAGCAAUUAAGUGGGUAACCAGGAGAACAACACAUUUAGCUGUUACCUAAUCAUUUUACUAUCAAUAUUUCUAAACUCUUCAGUUAACUUUAAGUGAGAGAGUGUCAAGUGAUCUUCACAAUAUUGUUUCUCUUAUUAAGUAAAAUUGAGCAGAGAAGUUUACACUUUAUAAAGGAAUAAAAGAGCAACUAUGUCAAUGGACAAAAGAGGGUUUUCUGUGGAAGGAUUUUGAAGUGUUACUAAUGGUAUAUGAAACUUUAAAGGUACUGACAGUAGCUUUGAUUUGUAUAAGUGACAAUAUUUUUCAGCCUGGUUAAAAAAAUGGCUGGAGAAUAAUUGGCAAGCUUGCAGAUAGCAAGUUAUGUACAAAAAGCUUAAUUUACUGCAAUAUCCAAACACAUUUGUGGUACAUUGAUGAGUAAGUAAUCAAGGCAUAGAACAUAAUUAGCUAUGUCCACCAUAAAUGCUAGUGGGGAAUGGAGGGCAGGAAUAGAGAUUUAAAAUCUGAUUACUCAAAUCUGCACGGCUCUUUUACUACCAGACACUCUGUUAUUAAAUGCACUUGCCUUAAUAACAGUUGUAAAAUAUCAUUGUCAGAACACACUAUAAAAAUAGGAAUGAUUUACGUAGAAUUUGGUAUUCAAUUACAAAUGUCAAAGGGAAAACAGCUGAGUGAAUUUAGAAACAUGAGCACUGUGAAAAGUACUGAAAAAUAACUUCAUGAAGCGAGCUUCAAUCUUUUAUGAGAGCUCAUAGGAUUCCUUCACUCAGACAGAAGCUGAAACACGCUUCACUCUGCUUUGUUUCACACUGAACGAGGUGAAAGCACAUUGUAUUAACUGAAGCUCAGAGUAACAAAAAUGUGUAAUUUAGGUUAAGAUAUCAUGAGAUAACACAGAAUGUCUAACUUUCACGGAAGCAAUAUAAGGUGGCUUAGUGGUUAUGGGGGAAUCUGAUAAGGAGCAGAAGAGGCAGAUGGCAGAUGCCAUGCAAGUAGAGUUUGUCCACCCAGCAAAAACUAAGCAGAUGCUUAUAAAUUGUCUGCUCGUGUCAUCACUUGAAAUGGUGGGGCACAGUGAGGUAGAAAAGGUUAUGUGUUACUAUCAAGGAAAGAGGAGGAAAGUGUUGCUUAUAA